rnacentral:ribozyme from 1 species
UGCCCAGCAACUCCUGUCCAUACCUCCUCGUGGUACUGGCCGGGGUACGGAGUAACCUUGGGGAAGAUCGGGUAAUCAACCCCGGUGGGAAGUUUGGACGUAUACUGACAGGGAAGG